GUGCCAGUGGAAAUCGGACUCAUAUUUAUUGAAAAUCCCGACUGUUUUUCAAGGAUGGACUUACCACCGCAUAAAUAAGUCUAUCUAAGUCCGCCAAAUUUAGAUGGCGGUGGAUGGAUUUCUGUGGGAAGAGGCUAUAAAGAGGUUGCUGCGGAAAAUUGUUGCGACCCAUUCACAUAGGCUCCCGCUGUUGCAAAUGCGGCCUAGAUUAAGUAAACCAGAGGUGCCCGGCCCGUGCACACGGAAAACAUUUGGAGAUGUGUGGGCCCUCACAUAAGAGACUCAUUCAACACUUUAAUAAUGGAAGCGACCUUAAUAAUUCAUCGACCUGUGUUAAUAUCAGAGUUAACUCAAUAACUCCAAAAGGAAAUAAUUCCCUACAGCAUUACAAAGGCCAACUGAAGUUUUGUAAUGACCCAACCGCAUAUGAUUAUGAUAAAUAAACGCUUUUCUAAGCAUAGUUUCACACCAUA